UACGGGGGGUGCGAGCGUUGUCCGGAAUCACUGGGCGUAAAGGGCGCGUAGGUGGUUUGAUAAGGGUGUGGUGAAAGUCCGGGGCUCAACCCCGGAUCUGCCGUGCCGACUGUCAAACUCGAGGGCUGUAGAGGCAGACGGAAUUCCGGGUGUAGCGGUGGAAUGCGUAGAGAUCCGGAGGAACACCGGUGGCGAAGGCGGAUCUCUGGGCCUUACCUGACGCUGAGGAGCGAAAGUGUGGGGAGCGAACAGG
rnacentral:rRNA from 1 species